rnacentral:rRNA from 1 species
GACGAACGCUGGCGGCGUGCUUAACACAUGCAAGUCGAACGGAAAGGCCCUGCUUUUGUGGGGUGCUCGAGUGGCGAACGGGUGAGUAACACGUGAGUAACCUGCCCUUGACUUUGGGAUAACUUCAGGAAACUGGGGCUAAUACCGGAUAGGAGCUCCUGCUGCAUGGUGGGGGUUGGAAAGUUUCGGCGGUUGGGGAUGGACUCGCGGCUUAUCAGCUUGUUGGUGGGGUAGUGGCUUACCAAGGCUUUGACGGGUAGCCGGCCUGAGAGGGUGACCGGACACAUUGGGGCUGAGAUACGGCCCAGACUCCUACGGGAGGCAGCAGUGGGGAAUAUUGCACAAUGGGCGGAAGCCUGAUGCAGCAACGCCGCGUGCGGGAUGACGGCCUUCGGGUUGUAAACCGCUUUCGCCUGUGACGAAGCGUGAGUGACGGUAAUGGGUAAAGAAGCACCGGCUAACUACGUG